rnacentral:rRNA from 1 species
GGUCAAGCAAAUCCCAUAAAGUUGUUCUCAGUUCGGAUUGUAGUCUGCAACUCGACUACAUGAAGCUGGAAUCGCUAGUAAUCGUAGAUCAGCAUGCUACGGUGAAUACGUUCCCGGGUCUUGUACACACCGCCCGUCACACCACGAGAGUUUGUAACACCCGAAGCCGGUGGAGUAACCUUUUAGGAGCUAGCCGUCGAAGGUGGGACAAAUGAUUGGGGUGAAGUCGUAACAAGGUAGCCGUAUCGGAAGGUGCGGCUGGAUCACCUCCUUU